UACCUAGAUCACUGCUGGUGAACGGA
rnacentral:piRNA from 1 species